CAUUGCUGACUGUCGCCUCAAAAGUAGCUUUGUUCUUCUUCGACUCAGAGUGCACGCUGGUAGAAAUUCCUCGGCAAACACGUUAAUCUCGCGCCCUCUUGCGGCUGAAUGAGGGAGAAGCAGAGCCUUGGAUCUGCUGUUUGUGUAACCACCUGCAGGUUCGGCCCACUGGGUCACAUCCUAUUGGUCAGCGCGUUGCCUGGAGACACAUGAUUGGACAGGAUUUGCUUAGCUCGCGGCUCCCGGAAACAAAAUGUACACAUGAAUAGAUUGUGUAAGAGUCCCGUUGUGCUCCCAGCUAACAUUUGCAGCGAUGCCGACGUCUCCUGUUAAAACGCGGAUCCCCCUCACCAGUUUCGGCCAUCUCAUAACGGAGGUGAAGAGACAGCUGUUUCGUAUAGAGGCCCCCUCUUCCGUGGAACUGACUGGUUGGAGGAAAUACUUAAAUAGCUACACUCUGCAGGGCCGACGAAAUUGUGUCUUGCUCACUUACGGGAUCGUUGCUGUAACGGCAGCUGCCUACUUCGUGCACAGACAAACCAAACAAGAACACCAAGAAAAGCAGGCGUCCAGCUCCGUGGCCUGAAAUACUGAAAUCCUCUCUAUUCACUUAGCAUUAUUUCUGAACAGAAGAAACAGAAGGAGUCACUCACUGGCAGGAGUGCGAUCAGGUUUAAAACUGUGCUUUGUUAAUAAAUGCCAUGCAAAUGUUU